rnacentral:rRNA from 1 species
CAGUAGCCGCGGUAAUACAGAGGGUGCGAGCUUUAAUCGGAUUUACUGGGCGUAAAGCGUGCGUAGGCGGCUUCUUAAGUCGGAUGUGAAAUCCCUGAGCUUAACUUAGGAAUUGCAUUCGAUACUGGGAAGCUAGAGUAUGGGAGAGGAUGGUAGAAUUCCAGGUGUAGCGGUGAAAUGCGUAGAGAUCUGGAGGAAUACCGAUGGCGAAGGCAGCCAUCUGGCCUAAUACUGACGCUGAGGUACGAAAGCAUGGGGAGCAAACAGGAUUAGAUACCCCAGUAGUCCCUGUCUCUUAUAC